GACGAACGCUGGCGGCGUGCUUAACACAUGCAAGUCGAGCGAAGCGGCGGACGGGUGAGUAACACGUGAGCAACCUGACUUAGACAUUGGGCUAGUCUAGGGAAACCGGGAUUAAUACCAAAUGGUCUAAGAUGGACUCGCGUCCCAUUAGCGAGUUGGUGAGGUAACGGCCCACCAAGGCGGCGAUGGGUAGCCGGCCUGAGGAGGUGAACGGCAACAUUGGGACAGGGAAACGGUGCAAACUGUGCGGGAGGCAGAAGUGGGGAAUAUUGCACAAUGUGGGGAAGUCUGAUGCAGCGGGGCCGCGUGAACGAGGAGGGAGUUAGAGUUGUAAAGUUCUUUUAUAUGGGAAGCGGUACCAUAAAAAAAAGCCCCGGCUAACUACGUGCCAGCGGCCGCGGUAAAC
rnacentral:rRNA from 1 species